UGAAGAGUCAUGUGAAAAGCCUAAGUAGCUCUGGGUGGUACCUCACUGUGUAGUCCUGGGUGAUACCUCACUGAGUAGCUUAGGCUGAUGGUCACUGAUAUUUAGUAAGCUACUCACACAUCUUUGAAGAGUCUUGUAGGAAGCCUAAACAAGGGGCUCUAUAACAAGUGUUCACAGACGCUCAGUAACUUACUCAGACAUCCUUGAAAACUGCUGUGGAGAUCCUCAAUGAGAAGCUCUUGCUGGCGUCCCUUCCUCCCCCCACAGCACAUGUAAGCUCAGUCAGGUCUUCAUAUUCUCGCACUUUGCGACCUAGCGUAGGUGCUGCCACCUGGCAGACCUAGCUAAGACCUAGAGCUCUGCUGAGUGCACCCAUAUUUUCUCUUACUAACUGGACAGGCGCAGCAUAGGUCGGCCGACGCAUCCCUCACUCUCUCGCUAGGCCUACGGCCUGGCGUGGGGCUACCAACCAAACUCGCUAUACUACUUACGGUUCGCCUCUUUUACUGUCAUUCCAGCCGCUACCAAUCUACCUAACGCCCAGAGCAAGCCCACAGAAGAGCUGUGAAUCGACCGCUGCAACAGCAAAUAUGUGAGUUGUGAUCAGUGUGGCAGAGGCGUUGUCCUCACAGCUGUUGUUCUUACAGGUGUGAGUUCCAUAUUGGUGCUGCGGACUUACAGACGGGUCUGAUAUAUGUUACAUAAAGUGCCCGGGCGCAAAAUAAGAGAACAUCAUAUCAACAUCCGUGGUCCCAGACUGCUUCUGCAACUUGCUAGAAGACGGCAACACUGCCGGAACAAGAGUAGAAGUCUUCAAAAGAAAAUUCGGCAAAUACCUCCUCCAAGUGUCAGAUCAACCAGGCUGUGAUACACACGUGGGCCAGCAGACCUCCAGCAGCAUUAGCCUGGUUGACCAGGCAAGCACCAGAUAAGUCUGGCCAAGGGCAAGGCUACUGCAGUAGGAAAACGUUUGACACACAUCCCUGUGGCUCGUAUAAGGGCGCCCCUUCCAAGGAGGAUUACCUUGAUGCUGGCGAAGGGCUCUUGAUCCAAGGAAAUUAGACUAACAGUCCCUCCCUUGAAUCAAAUCUAACCUCAGAAUCAUUUUUUGACCUUCGGGUCUGGUGUAGCAUUUGUGUGGUUGAUGUAAAUGAAGAAACAAAUUUUGUGGCAUUUAAUGUUAAUGGUUUGCACUUUUAAUCAGACUCUUCUCGUGCUUUCUCGUGAAUGUUGUCACCUGAGUGUUGACUGACAACAAUAAUGUUGUCACCUGAGUGUUGACUGACAACAAUAAUGUUGUCACUUGGGUGUUGACUGACAACAAUAAUGUUGUCACCUGAGUGUUGAUUGACAACAAUAAUGUUGUCACCUGAGUGUUGACUGACAACAAUAAUGUUGCCACCUGAGUGUUGACUGACAACAAUAAUGUUGCCACCUGAGUGUUGACUGACAACAGUAAUGUCACCUGAGUGUUGACUGACAACAAUAAUGUUGUCACCUGAGUGUUGACUGACAACAAUAAAGCAUGAAGUUUAAUAUUACAAUCUUCAAAAAAAAAUAUAUAAUUUUGCUUCAUUUGCAAAAG